CACCUGUUCUUGCCUCUCUGCAUUGGGUCCCGAUCAAAAGUAGAAUUGAUUUCAAAGUACUCCUUCUAACAUAUAAAGCUCUAUUUUAGCUCCAAAUGACCUCUAGGAAUGAGUUGUCCUCUAUUGAUCACCAGUAUCACUUCAUUCCCAGAGUGCAGGUUUCCUUGUAAUUCCAAGAAUAUCAAAAAGCACAAUAGGAGGCAUAGCCUUUAGCUAUCGAGCCCCCCUCCAGUGGAAUAAUCCGAGAUGGAUCUCCAUCCGAGAUGCAGACACCCUUUCCAUAUUCAAAUCGAGACUCAAGACAUUCCUCUUUAGUGCAUCCCAUAGUCAUGAAUAAUGCAUCAAAAACCCGUCACCUUUCGCAACAUUCUUCACCUCUUCUUACAUGUCGUCUUCACAGCUACGUAAAAAGAUGCAAGGGUUACAAACCGGAGCAAAGGUAAGAUCAAAAAUAAUAGGCUACAUGCAUUCUGCUGUAUACAAGUAAACAAUAUUCUAUGUAAGUAAAAGUUCAAUUUCACUGUGCCUAUUUCAUUGUUUUCCAGCUGCCUGUACCGCCGACUUGUGUCUCAGGCAGCAGCCAUCACAGCACUGCAUCACAGCAUUCUCUAUAUCUUAGUGAUGGAGAUCAUUUCCAAACACUGUUAAUGACUUAAGAAUAUAAUAAUCAAGUGCCUUGUAUUAUUAAUUACCUUAAAUGAAUCAUGUACUUAUGUAAGCAGGAACAUGGCUUUUCUGUGUUUCUGCGUGUGUGUAACUUAGAAUUUUAGGUGCCACUUAGUCUGCAUAUGUACAAGAGCAUGUUUAGACCUGAAGUGAUAAGAAGGGACGAACUGUGCUUCUUCCGACCUUGUGCAAAACUUCCAUCCUUGCCUCGGACAUCAGAAAUCCACCACGUGGUUAUCUCUGCUGAACGCUCAACUUCACAGUAUUGCAUCACAGCAUUCUCUAUAUCUUAGUGACAUGGCAGUGGAAAUAAUUAUGGCCUUCCAUUCCAUUCCCAGCUUACAACAACAAAGACAAAAUACAAGAAUAGUCUUGUCUCAGAAAACACGCUUCAAAUGGCCUUGAAUUUGUUUGUUGAAUUUGGCCUGAUUGGUAAUAGGUCAGCCUGCAUUGUGCCAAAGCUGCCCAGGUUCUGUUCUCUUAGGUACACCCUUUCUCUUUCUCUCUCAGGUUUGUGUUAAUCAUACUGCAGGCCAAUGUCCAGCCAGCACGUUUUAGGCCCAUCGUGGGUCCAGGUUUCUUGAAACAAACAGUUUUCUACAAAGAGGUGUGUAGGCCCCCUCCUGAUAUGUGUUUAGGGUCCGUGUACUUUGCGGCCAACGGAUUUUCGUUUUGAAAUGAAGAAAAUCAGACAACGGGUCGUUUUUUCGUUUUCAGUUUUCUAUUAUCAAAACAAAAAAACGGAAAAUGGGUGGUUUCCCGUUUGUUGUUUUCCUAUUUCUAAAUGGUAAUUGGGAAACAGCUCGCUUCCCGAUUUUGGUUUUCUCAUUUCAAAACGAAAAUCCGUUGGCCGCAAAGUACACGGACCGUUUAGAUUAUUUAUUCAGUUUAAAAUGGUAUUUAGGAAUUGUUAGUUUCCGCAGUUAUUUCUGUUCAGCCAAAGCAAAUAAUAAGAAUAAUCAUAAUACAUAAAACAACAACAAGAACAAAACUAAAACAUUGAUAGAAAAUAAAUCUUUCUUUCUAUGAUGUGUUGGUAAUGCUAAUAAAAAAAUGAAAACUGUGUCAGCAGUAUUUGUCUUCUGUAAUCCCUGUAACUACAAAAGCACUGGGCCAGUGGGUUGAUGGAAGUUGAUGGAAGGCACAUCUACAAGUAAUAGAAAGUAAUGGCUUGGCUAGUAGAAUUUAGGUCAGUGCAUUGUGUCCAUGUCUGCAGAAAAAUGAACCAAUGCUACAUUGUCCAAUCCAACUGAACGUGACUCUUUUGAGCCAAUCCAACUGAACGUGACUCUUUUGAGCCAAUCCAACUGAACGUGACUCUUUUGAGCCAAUCCAACUGAACGUGACUCUUUUGAGCCAAUCCAACUGAACGUGACUCUUUUGAGCCAAUCCAACUGAACAUGACUCUUUUGAGUCAAUCCAACUGAAUGUGACUCUUUUGAGCCAAUCCAACUGAACAUGACUCUUUUGAGCCAAUCCAACUGAACGUGACUCUUUUGAGCCGGCUAGAACUGGCUGCAGCGCCGACACAUCACUGCAUCACUGAAGCAUGAUCAAAUAAGUAUUCAAGAAUUUGAAAUAUGUAUUCAAUUUCCAAACAGGCCUUAUUUCAUGGGCCAGCUACACCACUUUUCACACAAGUCAAAUCUGUACUACUGUGUGUAAGCAACUCAGAUUUUUUAUUGAAAUUAGGCUUUAGUUUAGGAAAACGUAUUGUGAAGCUAUGAAGGUCAAAAUGAGCAUGUCAGAGAUGUAAUAGGUCUGUACAUUUUGUAAUAGUGGUUUCAAAUAUAAGUGGAGCAGACAGACAUUUCAUCAUGAAUACCUUCACUUCAGAGCAGUUGGUGCCUCAAUGUCUGUGGCUCAGAAUCACAUGAGGGGAUCUAAUAUCAAGUUGUCAUUUAUAGAAAACCAAUUGAUUUAAUUCUGACCAGCUGCCAAAGUGCAUUCACAUGGAGUUCCAGCGUGCCCUUGACGCAGAUUGAAUCAAUGAAAUGUGUGUGUGUGUGUGUGUCUGCCCCCAAACAGACACACACCACUGGUUGAUGAACUUGAACUAAAACACCUGGCUGUGACACUAUUAUUACACUGUCAUUGUGUAAAAGCACUUCUUUUUUUUCUGUUGAAUUGAAAGUGGAAAAAAAGAAUCUCACAUUCAAUGAGCAGUUAACAUCAGACGCCCAAAUGUUAACAGCACAGAAUUAAUUUGCACUGGUGCACAAAAAAACAGUAUUGUCACACAGCACACCUCAUAGGAUAAAUCAAAUGAGAAACCCACAGCAUUUCAACAAUGGAAAAGCAGAACAAUCCACCAUGCAUGUC
ensembl:lncRNA